rnacentral:rRNA from 1 species
GAUGAACGCUAGCUACAGGCUUAACACAUGCAAGUCGAGGGGCAGCAGGAUCUAGCAAUAGAUUGCUGGCGACCGGCGCACGGGUGAGUAACACGUAUCCAACCUGCCGAUAACUCGGGGAUAGCCUUUCGAAAGAAAGAUUAAUACCCGAUGGUAUAAUCAGACCGCAUGGUUUGAUUAUUAAAGAAUUUCGGUUAUCGAUGGGGAUGCGUUCCAUUAGGCAGUUGGUGAGGUAACGGCUCACCAAACCUUCGAUGGAUAGGGGUUCUGAGAGGAAGGUCCCCCACAUUGGAACUGAGACACGGUCCAAACUCCUACGGGAGGCAGCAGUGAGGAAUAUUGGUCAAUGGACGCGAGUCUGAACCAGCCAAGUAGCGUGAAGGAUGACUGCCCUAUGGGUUGUAAACUUCUUUUAUAUGGGAAUAAAGUUUUCCACGUGUGGAAUUUUGUAUGUACCAUAUGAAUAAGGAUCGGCUAACUCCGUGCCAGCAGCCGCGGUAAUACGGAGGAUCCGAGCGUUAUCCGGAUUUAUUGGGUUUAAAGGGAGCGUAGGUGGACAGUUAAGUCAGUUGUGAAAGUUUGCGGCUCAACCGUAAAAUUGCAGUUGAUACUGGCUGUCUUGAGUACAGUAGAGGUGGGCGGAAUUCGUGGUGUAGCGGUGAAAUGCUUAGAUAUCACGAAGAACUCCGAUUGCGAAGGCAGCUCACUGGACUGCAACUGACACUGAUGCUCGAAAGUGUGGGUAUCAAACAGGAUUAGAUACCCUGGUAGUCCACACAGUAAACGAUGAAUACUCGCUGUUUGCGAUAUACAGUAAGCGGCCAAGCGAAAGCAUUAAGUAUUCCACCUGGGGAGUACGCCGGCAACGGUGAAACUCAAAGGAAUUGACGGGGGCCCGCACAAGCGGAGGAACAUGUGGUUUAAUUCGAUGAUACGCGAGGAACCUUACCCGGGCUUAAAUUGCAUUUGAAUAAUCUGGAAACAGGUUAGCCGCAAGGCAAAUGUGAGGGUGCUGCAUGGUUGUCGUCAGCUCGUGCCGUGAGGUGUCGGCUUAAGUGCCAUAACGAGCGCAACCCUUAUCUUUAGUUACUAACAGGUCAUGCUGAGGACUCUAGAGAGACUGCCGUCGUAAGAUGUGAGGAAGGUGGGGAUGACGUCAAAUCAGCACGGCCCUUACGUCCGGGGCUACACACGUGUUACAAUGGGGGGUACAGAAGGCAGCUACCUGGUGACAGGAUGCUAAUCCCAAAAGCCUCUCUCAGUUCGGAUCGAAGUCUGCAACCCGACUUCGUGAAGCUGGAUUCGCUAGUAAUCGCGCAUCAGCCAUGGCGCGGUGAAUACGUUCCCGGGCCU